ACAGGAAGUUAGCGUUCCCACUAUGAGGCACGUUUCCUGAAAGAUUUCCACCUCCAACCUGCUGCACCCCAUGAAAACUGACCUGAGCCAGCUUCUCCCUUCUAUUUACAGAAGAAUACUGUCAGUACUAAAGGAGCACCGACUUCAGUCUUUAUUCCGGUUGUUGGAAUUCUGGUCUUGGUUGUUAUCAAUAUUUUUUCAUCUGUAUGUAUCAACCGAUCACCAAUCAACCAAAAUGAAGGAAGGUGAGGUCAAUUUAUUGAUUUUAGUGACUGAUGAAAUUUUCAGUUUUAAGGUCAGUUCUUAAAAGACGUUUUGAAGUUUGACAAUCUUCUACUUAUUUGGACUUUGAAUUCAGGUCAAAUCACAGAACAGAUUGUUGAAAUAAAAGCCAGUUCUUCUGUUAUUUGUAAUUUAUUUUUAAGAAAACAAUGUGAGAAAAAAGAGGGUUUUACUUUUCAGUCAUACUGCCCAGCUCCAACAGAGAGGUUGGCAUGUCUGAUUUUAAACUGACUGACAGAUGUCAAAACUCAACCUCAUUUUGAGAAAGGUAAAAGGUGGAUCUUAGAAGUGCAUAAUUACUAAACACAAAGCCAAGAAGCUCAGCUGCAGAGUCUGCAAGGAAAGGGGAAAAUGUCUUGGACCAGAGCCACACUGAAACACGAGGAACCAUACUGAAGAUGGAGAAAAAGAACUAAGCUGAUCAUUUCUGCAACAGUGAACCAGAGGACCAUCAUCACAAGCGAGGCAGGUGAAACCUGGAAAAACAACAAGUUCUCUGCUAAGGAGUUCAGGCUGAUGCCAGAGCUUUGGCUCUUUGGAGGUUUGGUGUUUUUGCAAAAGACGAAGACCAGAAUGAGUUAGUGCGGCCAUCUCACACAUGGGCAGCCAUUACCACGGAAACGUCCAUCAUAGCAACCAUGGCAGCUAGUGUGUUCUAUUCACCAAACAAGGGCAGAGUAACACCUGUGUAAAUAUGAUGAGCUGCAGCAGAAUGCAGCGGAGGAACAGCAGGUCUGCACCAGUGACGUGCGGUGAGGUUCUUUGCGGAUGAGCAUAUGGCAACACAAAGCAUGAACCCAACCUCCUGUCAAUACCGAGAGUGGACCACUCCCACUGUGAAAGGUGAACAGCAGGACACUCGUGCACGCCUGCCAGGCAGCAGCUGCAGGGCUGUUUCUCAGAGGGAGGCAGGACGACAGCCGGAGCAGUCUUUCAGAAACGCACAGCUGAUUACCCUUUAUUCAGGGAGGCACGAGAACACUUGCGGCAAAACAUUUAUUAUGUCAUCAUGCUAAGCCGGUGUGCUUUUUGGGCCGUCUUCCAUGGAAAAACAAGAGAAUUCCAUGGAAAAAAAACAACAGAACCAGUCAGAACAGAGGAGAUAUCUCCGUGUGACAACAUGUUGCUGUGCUUCAUGAUUUUGUUGGACAGGGCAUACAGAAUCCUACCAGGUCCUUGUUGCUAGAUAUAGAAAGAAUGAGGUUUUGUUACAACUUGCUGAGGGACAUUUUCCCAAACUUUUGCACCCAAGUCAUGUUUUUUUUUUUAAUUCACUCAAAUUUUUUUGAUGUAUCAUCCUUCCACCUUGAAAAAGGAAGUGUCUUGGUGUAUGUAAACUUUUGACCAGCAGUGUAUGGUUGCUAGCAGUUCAAGAUUAUAUCAAUCUAUCUUCCUUCAGUUUACAUAAUCAAGCACUAAACCCUUCUCUCUUAGCAGCAGGUCGUUUGUAGUGCACACAAUUUCUGGUUAGCUUCUUAGCGUUGAACUGCCACAUUACGUUACGGCCAAAUGUUAGCGACUGCUGGGUGCCAAUCAACCAGGCCACGCAAAAACAUAAUUUCAUCAGAUGCCAAUGUUACAAUUGACUGUAAUAAACUGGAAGGGGGAAAAUGGAGAAAAAUGGAGAGUUUUGUUCUGUGACGUUAACUAGUGUUGGCAAUGUUUUCACACAUCGUGGAACUGACUGGAAAGAUGUGAACAGAGGAAAAGGCUGAUCAGUCAUGUGAGAUAAAUGUUAGCCACAUCGGAACUUAUUCUGUAAAUUUGUCUCCUGCUCCCCUUUAGUGUGUUAAUUCUUAUUUUUUGGAAAAGCUGAG